rnacentral:rRNA from 1 species
UCGAGAAUCAUUCGCAAUGGGCGAAAGCCUGACGAUGCGACGCCGCGUGCAGGACGACGGCCUUCGGGUUGUAAACUGCUGUGAUGGGGGAACAAUUGGCAGGGCAUUAAUAGUGUCUUGUCUUGAUAGUACCCCAAGAGGAAGCCACGGCUAACUCUGUGCCAGCAGCCGCGGUAAUACAGAGGUGGCAAGCGUUGUGCGGAUUUACUAGGCGUAAAGGGUGCGUAGGCGGCAUCAUAUGUCGAAUGUGAAAUCCCACGGAUUAUCUGUGGAACUGCAUACGAAACUGUGGUGCUAGAGGACAGGAGAGGAGCGCGGCAUUCACGGUGUAGCAGUGAAAUGCGUUGAUAUCGUGAAGAACGCCGGUGGCGAAGGCGGCCCUCUGGACUGUAUCUGACGCUGAGGCACGAAAGCUAGGGGAGCAAACAG